rnacentral:rRNA from 1 species
UGCAAGUCGAACGGUAACAGGAAGAAGCUUGCUUCUUUGCUGACGAGUGGCGGACGGGUGAGUAAUGUCUGGGAAACUGCCUGAUGGAGGGGGAUAACUACUGGAAACGGUAGCUAAUACCGCAUAACGUCGCAAGACCAAAGAGGGGGACCUUCGGGCCUCUUGCCAUCGGAUGUGCCCAGAUGGGAUUAGCUAGUAGGUGGGGUAACGGCUCACCUAGGCGACGAUCCCUAGCUGGUCUGAGAGGAUGACCAGCCACACUGGAACUGAGACACGGUCCAGACUCCUACGGGAGGCAGCAGUGGGGAAUAUUGCACAAUGGGCGCAAGCCUGAUGCAGCCAUGCCGCGUGUAUGAAGAAGGCCUUCGGGUUGUAAAGUACUUUCAGCGGGGAGGAAGGGAGUAAAGUUAAUACCUUUGCUCAUUGACGUUACCCGCAGAAGAAGCACCGGCUAACUCCGUGCCAGCAGCCGCGGUAAUACGGAGGGUGCAAGCGUUAAUCGGAAUUACUGGGCGUAAAGCGCACGCAGGCGGUUUGUUAAGUCAGAUGUGAAAUCCCCGGGCUCAACCUGGGAACUGCAUCUGAUACUGGCAAGCUUGAGUCUCGUAGAGGGGGGUAGAAUUCCAGGUGUAGCGGUGAAAUGCGUAGAGAUCUGGAGGAAUACCGGUGGCGAAGGCGGCCCCCUGGACGAAGACUGACGCUCAGGUGCGAAAGCGUGGGGAGCAAACAGGAUUAGAUACCCUGGUAGUCCACGCCGUAAACGAUGUCGACUUGGAGGUUGUGCCCUUGAGGCGUGGCUUCCGGAGCUAACGCGUUAAGUCGACCGCCUGGGGAGUACGGCCGCAAGGUUAAAACUCAAAUGAAUUGACGGGGGCCCGCACAAGCGGUGGAGCAUGUGGUUUAAUUCGAUGCAACGCGAAGAACCUUACCUGGUCUUGACAUCCACGGAAGUUUUCAGAGAUGAGAAUGUGCCUUCGGGAACCGUGAGACAGGUGCUGCAUGGCUGUCGUCAGCUCGUGUUGUGAAAUGUUGGGUUAAGUCCCGCAACGAGCGCAACCCUUAUCCUUUGUUGCCAGCGGUCCGGCCGGGAACUCAAAGGAGACUGCCAGUGAUAAACUGGAGGAA